GGGUCUAUAGGGUAGUGGAUAUCCUGAUGGACUUCGGAUCCAUCGAUCUGUGUUCGAAUCGCAGUAGGCCCG
rnacentral:tRNA from 1 species